rnacentral:lncRNA from 1 species
AAAAAGAUAAAAUGAUCUUUAAAAUUAAUCUUUUAAAAAUACUAAAAUCAAAGGUGUUUGAUCAACAUCAAGUAUAAUUUUUAAAAUCAGUCCAAAAUCUUUCCGAACAAAAAUGAAUCGCUUAACAUCCAUUAACCUUUACAAAUAAAAUAAAAUCAAGUCAUUCCGCAAUCGUUUUCAAAAUUAACUGGGUCAACACCAAACCCUUUUUGUUA